rnacentral:misc_RNA from 1 species
GAUGAAGAACGUAGCGAAAUGCGAUAAGUAAUGUGAAUUGCAGAAUUCAGUGAAUCAUCGAAUCUUUGAACGCACAUUGCGCCCGCCAGUAUUCUGGCGGGCAUGCCUGUUCGAGCGUCAUUUCAACCCUCAGGGCCCUUUUGGACCUGGCGUUGGGGCUCGGCCGCUACCCUGCGGCCGUCCCCGAAAGAUAGUGGCGGUCUCGCUGUAGCCUCCUCUGCGUAGUAGUUACAUCUCGCACUGGAACGCGGCGCGGCCAUGCCGUUAAACACCCACUUCUCAAGGUUGACCUCGGAUCAGGUAGGAAUACCCGCUGAACUUAAGCAUAUCAAUAAGCGGAGGA